rnacentral:rRNA from 1 species
ACGGGACCGCACAAGCGGUGGAUGAUGUGGUUUAAUUCGAUGCAACGCGAAAACCUUACCACCUUUGACAUGUACGGAAUCCUUUAGAGAUAGAGGAGUGCUCGAAAGAGAGCCGUAACACAGGUGCUGCAUGGCUGUCGUCAGCUCGUGUCGUGAGAUGUUGGGUUAAGUCCCGCAACGAGCGCAACCCUUGUCAUUAGUUGCUACAUUCAGUUGGGCACUCUAAUGAGACUGCCGGUGACAAACCGGAGGAAGGUGGGGAUGACGUCAAGUCCUCAUGGCCCUUAUAGGUGGGGCUACACACGUCAUACAAUGGCCGGUACAGAGGGUAGCCAACCCGCGAGGGGGAGCCAAUCCCACAAAGCCGGUCGUAGUCCGGAUCGCAGUCUGCAACUCGACUGCGUGAAGUCGGAAUCGCUAGUAAUCGCGGAUCAGCAUGUCGCGGUGAAUACGUUCCCGGGUCUU